GUCAAAUUUGGAAUGAAGAAUGCUUUAGUAUGAGUAGGUCUUAUGCAAUAUUGGGGGCAUAUUUAUACCAAGAAAUUCUCCAUUGUUUACCUGAAAUUCAAAUUUAACGAGGCAUCCUUUAUUUUAUCUGGCAACCCUACUAGUUGACCUCGCAAAGAAGAUAUAGAGCAGAGAGCCGAGCACACCUUACCUCUGCCAGAAAGGCCCAUACUGCAGACCCAGGGGACACCCCGAAAACAACUCUACAAGGCCAGCUUGGUAAAGACCAGAACCAAAUCCCAAGUUCCUCUUUUGUAACCCCAGAUUUCCGGCACCAUCUCACUAGCCCUAAAUUGAAGGGACCCUGCAUUUCGGCUCUCCCGGGCCAGCACCACCCGGGACAUGCCUCCAGGGUUCCCAGCAAAGGACAGUGGAGGGCUGGAGCUCUUCACACUUCAUGCUCUCCUUUCUCAUGGAAAUAAGCCAUCCCUUCCUAACAGAUUGGUCCAAGGCCAGAGACUCUGCAGUUCUUGACACCAACUUAACAAAAUCACCCAGGGAGACCAGGGCAGAGAACAAAGUCGGGAAGCCUGCCUCACCGGAGCCCCCACAACGUCAAGAAGAACAGCAGCUGGCAUUGGCCGGGUCUACCCCACAGGCUGCCACCCUACCUGCCUCUGCUUCUUUGGUGCCCGGACACCCUGACAAGGUCCCUACUGGCAGUGUCCACAACCUACAGGUGAGGAAGCAGGUGUGGUGGUUAAGAACCUGGCUCUAGAGCAGUGGUUCCCAACCCGGAGUGAUUUUUGCCCCCGAGAUAGGGUUGGCAGCUACCAGAUAAAUCCACAGCACACCCAGUUAAAUUUGAACAAGUAACUUUUUCAUAUAAGUAUGUCCUAAAUAUCAAAUGGACAUACUCACACUAAAAAUAAUUCAUUGUUUGCCUGAAAUCCAAACAUAACGGGACCUGUAUUUGAUCAGGCAAUCCUACCCCCAGCAGGUACGUGGUAAUGUCUGGAGACACUUUGGAUUGUCACUACAAGGGACCCCGCUACCGGCAUCUAGAAGGACGGCCCCCCAGCACGGAGAGUUACCUGGCCCCAGAUGUCAAUAGUGAGAACUGAGAAAUCUUGACCGAGAGCCACAUGCCGGGGGCGGGGGAAUUGAAGUUCUGGAUCUUCCCUGUGGGCCAAGAAGAGGCCGGGGUGGUGGCAGUGGAGACCGAGGCCAGAUCAAGCCUCACUUGGGAAGCUCGCAAACGAGAAGCAGAGAGCCAACCACCCCCGGAAAGAACAGGCCCAUCGUCGUGUGCCUUGGACACGUGUGUCAGACGGUCGCAUUUGUGGGGAGAGGGUGUAAAAUGAUACACGGGGGUCUAAAGAUAAAUAAAUAACUAGAGAAGCCCGAAUUAGCCGUCUGA
rnacentral:lncRNA from 12 species